UACGAAGGGGGCUAGCGUUGUUCGGAGUUACUGGGCGUAAAGGGCGCGUAGGCGGCCCUCCAAGUCGGGCGUGAAAGCCCACGGCUCAACCGUGGAAUUGCGCUCGAGACUGAAGGGCUCGAGGACGGGAGAGGAUGGUGGAAUUCCCAGUGUAGAGGUGAAAUUCGUAGAUAUUCGGAAGAACACCAGUGGCGAAGGCGACUCACUGGACGACUGUUGACGCUGAGGUGCGAAAGCGUGGGGAGCAAACAGG
rnacentral:rRNA from 1 species